UCUUUGCCGCCCUUUUUGGUUGUGUAGCAACAUGUUCCUCUACUGUCUCAGUGAUAAUCUCCUUACUGGUAGCAGUUUCAUCCACUGAGGAAUACGGCUUCUUCGAUGUUUUCUCAAAAAAAGGUUUAGAAACCUCAGCUGUGUAGCUCAGGGAAGCAGGUGUUUCUGAGCUGUUCCCAUCAACGCUUCUAACUACAAAACACUGCACAUAAAGACUGUUUCAAGUUAUCUAUCUGGGUACGACUAAAAUCAAUCAAGCUGGUAACUUUUUGACAUGGGCAUCACUGUAACCAAAUCGAGAUGAAGAAAGCUACGUUCUUUUUAGGAGUUACUCGAGAAGUUUUACCACGUGGCGAGACCUAAGGCAUGGGAACGAUCGGGUCUGGAAGCGGAGUUGGCGAUUGGUGGUGGAGAGACAAGCAAGGUGAGAGAUUUUCGUCGCCAUCUUUCGAGAUCUGAGACUCUUGGAGUGUGGUCAGCACGAGAGGAAGUGGUUUGGUUUUGAUUCAGCCGGCGUUAAGGACUCUUUCUCUUGCUGAAAUGAAGACGAUGAUGACCGGACAAUCGUGACCGUCCGUUCGGUUUUGAAUAUCUGACCGGUCAAAAUGACUCGUAUAUGAAUUUUUACUCGGUUUAGUUGGCUCAGGCUUUGAUUUCGGUUUGUUUUUUUUAAGUGGGGUCGGAUUAGUCUAAAGCGCUUUGUUAGGCUUGUUUUAUUUUAGAAAACUGCCACUAAUACCAUAUUCAUAGUACCACUUUUUCUAUUUGUACUAAUCAUUUUUACCAAUCACUUUUAAUAAGAGAUAGAAGACGCUUAUACUUCUAGGGUUAGCUAAUAUAGAGUUAGGGGUGGAGUAGAGUUUUUGGAAAAAAAAAAAUUCAAAAAAAAAAAAAUUCAAAAAAAAAAUUAUAAAAAGUUUGAAUUGAAAAAGUAUAAUUCGAAAAAAAAAAUUAAAUUUUUAUUUUUAUUAUUUAUAUAAAUAAUGUUUAUUAUAUAUAUACAGAACAAGGUAUAAGAGUCUUUUGCCAAUUAAUAAAGAAAAUAUUUUUGAAAAUGUCUCUUUAUUAGUGGUAAAAAUGGGUUGUAUAUAACACAAUGACAGGAAAAAAUUUCAAAAAAUAUGUAUUUUAUGUUAUUCAUCUCAUUAUGAUCUUCCCAACAAAACAUUAGUAUGGAAGUAUAAGGAUGUUUUGAAUAGAAAUGAAAAGUUUUAUAUCAGUUUGAGUAACUAAGAGUAUUUUAUGUCUAAUUUGACAAAUAACACAUAUAUGGAUAUAUAAUCACGUAAUAUAUGAGAUACACCUUCUAAAAAUAAACAAUAAGACGAAUAUUAAGGUUUUUUAGAAACAUGCAUAAACAUAGUAAUUCAAAGUAUUUUAAGGUAGUUCAAGGUAGUUCAAAGUAGUACAUAGUAGUUCAUAUUACACAUAAUAGUUCAAGUAAUAUCUAGUAGUUCAUAUUACACAUAGUAGUUUAUUAAAAUAAUACUGAAAUAUAAGUUUUAUUAAAUUUGUAUUUUUGAAAUAUUUUUAUGCAACCAAAAUUUAUAUAAUUUUUUUAUUUAAAUUUAUUUAAAUUUAUAUAAUUUUUUAUUUUAUAUAACCAAAAUUGAUAUAAAUAUUUAUUAAUUUAAUUUUGAAUUCAAUUGUUGAUUAAAAUAUUAUUAAAUACAUAUUUUAUUAAAUUUGUAUUUUUGAAAUAUUACUGAAAUAAUUUAUAAAUAUUUAUGAAAUUAUUUGGUGAUUAAAAUAUGAAAUAACUUAUUUUAAAUUUGAAUACUUUUAUAUAAAAGAUAAAAAAAUAGUUUAAGAAAUUUGUAUUUUUGAAAUAUUAUCUCAAGCUUUUCCUGUCUCCUCGGCGCAUGUUGAUUUACUCUCUUAUAUUAGAGCUUCAUGUUUUAAAUGCAUUCAUGCUCUUAAUAAAUACAUUUAUUAAAUUUAUUUUUGUUAAUAAUUUUUGAUUAAAAUAUUAUUGAAAUACAUAUUUUAUUGAAUAUUUUUUGUUUGAAAUAUUUUUAUAUAACCAAAAUUUUAUAAAAUUAUUUUUAAAAUUAAUUGUUCAUUGAAAUAUUUUUGAAAUACAUAAUAUAAAGAAAAGAAGAGAAAGUGGGAUUUGUGAGCUAUUUUAACAAUAUUAUGAGGAAAUAAUAUUUUCUGAAUCAGAGGUAAUAUUAUUUUAUAAAUUAUUAAUUCAGUUAUAAAUAUUGAAUAUCAAAAUAAAUGAAUACAAUAUUUUAAAUUUGAAAUCAUUUAUAUGAACGAGAUAAUUGAAAAAAUUAGAAGCCAAAAUAAUUAUUUUCAUUUUUGUAGUAAUUUAAUUAAUAAUGAUUAAAAUGGAAAUUUAUUACAAAAAAGAGAAAGAAUGGAUAAGAAAUGGGAGGUAGAACCCAGAUUAUUGCAAAGAAAAAAGGAAAACAAAGAACUAAUGAACAAAAAAGAGGAAAUGAGAAAUUUUAGUUAUUGCAAAAAAAAAAAAUCAGCUUUGGAGCUUCUCUUCGCUCUGGGGGCUCUAAAUAAGGUGGGUGAGCUGACGAAAGCUGGUAGGAGGAUGGCGGAGUUUCCACUUGAUCCGAUGUUGUCGAAGAUGAUUGUUGUUUCGGAUAAGUACAAGUGCUCAGAUGAGGUGAAAGAGAAGGGGGAUAGUGAGAAAAUGAAUGGGGUAGUUAGAAUAUAAUUUUUGGGAGUGGGGCAAAUAAGAGUACUUUCCUAUAUUCAUAGUUACAUGUGUAGUAGUAAUAUUAAUAUAUACGAGUUAGGAGCGGUCGUUCGUAAUCAGUUUCAUCCACUGAGGAAUACGGCUUCUUCGAUGUUUUCUCAAAAAAAGGUUUAGAAACCUCAGCUGUGUAGCUCAGGGAAGCAGGUGUUUCUGAGCUGUUCCCAUCAACGCUUCUAACUACAAAACA
rnacentral:lncRNA from 1 species